UCCCUGGUGGUCCAGUGGUUAAGACUCUGAGCUCCAAACCCAGGAGCCCAGGUUCAAUCCCUGGUCAGGGAA